ACGGAAGGCAGCAGUGGGGAAUAUUGCACAAUGGGCGAAAGCCUGAUGCAGCGACGCCGCGUGAGUGAAGAGGUAUCUCGGUAUGUAAAGCUCUAUCAGCAGGGAAGAAAAUGACGGUACCUGACUAAGAAGCCCCGGCUAACUACGUGCCAGCAGCCGCGGUAAUACGUAGGGGGCAAGCGUUAUCCGGAUUUACUGGGUGUAAAGGGAGCGUAGACGGUUUGGCAAGUCUGAAGUGAAAUGCGGGGGCUCAACUCCUGAACUGCUUUGGAAACUGUCGAACUAGAGUGCAGGAGAGGUAAGUGGAAUUCCUAGUGUAGCGGUGAAAUGCGUAGAUAUUAGGAGGAACACCAGUGGCGAAGGCGGCUUACUGGACUGUAACUGACGUUGAGGCUCGAAAGCGUGGGGAGCAAACAGGAUUAGAUACCCUGGUA
rnacentral:rRNA from 1 species